rnacentral:rRNA from 1 species
UACGAAGGGAGCUAGCGUUGUUCGGAAUUACUGGGCGUAAAGGGUGCGUAGGCUGUCUGCUCAGUCAGGUGUGAAAGCCCCGGGCUUAACCCGGGAAUUGCACUUGAUACUGGCAGGCUUGAGUUCGGGAGAGGUGAGUGGAAUUCCCAGUGUAGAGGUGAAAUUCGUAGAUAUUGGGAAGAAUAUCAGUGGCGAAGGCGGCUCACUGGACCGAAACUGACGCUGAGGCACGAAAGCGUGGGGAGCAAACAGG